GAUGAACGCUGGCGGCGUGCCUAAUACAUGCAAGUCGAACGCUGAAGGAGGAGCUUGCCCUUCUGGAUGAGUUGCGAACGGGUGAGUAACGCGUAGGUAACCUGCCUGGUAGCGGGGGAUAUCUAUUGGAAACGAUAGCUAAUACCGCAUGACAACAGUUAUUGCAUGUUAAUUGUUUAAAAGGGGCAACUGCUCCACUACCAGAUGGACCUGCGUCGUAUUAGCUAGUUGGUGAGGUAACGGCUCACCAAAGCGACGAUACAUAGCCGACCUGGAAGGGUGGUCCGCCACAAUGGGAACGGAGAACCGCCCAGGCUCCCUCGGGGAGCAGGCAGAGGGGAAUUUCGGCAAUGGGCGGAAGGCUGGACGAACAAAGGCGGGUGGGGGGAGGAAGGUUUUCGGACGGUAAACUCUGUUGAAUGGGAAGGAAGAGAGGUGGAGUGAAAAGUUCACGCUGUGACGGUAUCUAACCAGAAAGCGACGGCUAACUACGUG
rnacentral:rRNA from 1 species